UCUCCGUAGGUGAACCUGCGGAGGGAUCAUUACAAGUGACCCCGGUUUACCACCGGGAUGUUCAUAACCCUUUGUUGUCCGACUCUGUUGCCUCCGGGGCGACCCUGCCUUCGGGCGGGGGCUCCGGGUGGACACUUCAAACUCCUGCGUAACUUUGCAGUCUGAGUAAACUUAAUUAAUAAAUUAAAACUUUUAACAACGGAUCUCUUGGUUCUGGCAUCGAUGAAGAACGCAGCGAAAUGCGAUAAGUAAUGUGAAUUGCAGAAUUCAGUGAAUCAUCGAAUCUUUGAACGCACAUUGCGCCCCCUGGUAUUCCGGGGGGCAUGCCUGUUCGAGCGUCAUUUCACCACUCAAGCCUCGCUUGGUAUUGGGCAACGCGGUCCGCCGCGUGCCUCAAAUCGACCGGCUGGGUCUUCUGUCCCCUCAGCGUUGUGGAAACUAUUCGCUAAAGGGUGCUCGGGAGGCUACGCCGUAAAACAACCCCAUUUCUAAGGUUGACCUCGGAUCAGGUAGGGAUACCCGCUGAACUUAAGCAUAUCAAUAAGCCGGAGGA
rnacentral:rRNA from 1 species